AAAGAAGAAUAUUCGUCAUGAACAGAAAUUAAAGCAAAAUAAUUUAUGAUUGAACGACCAAUACUGCCUCCGUACACUAUCUAAAUUUCGCUAGAGCAGCUAGAGUUAUUUCAAUCAUUCCACGGCAGGAUCGUCGCAAUCACGCCGCACUUCAAUAUGUUCUUGCCAUGGUUUCGGCUUCACGAUACUAAUGGUUAAGUCGCGAUCCUUGGAACAAACGCGAAGUCCCACUACACAUACAGCAUUCCAUGGCGGCUUAACGCUGUACUCGCCGUCAUUGAUGUCAUCGUCGUCCUUCUCAUGUUCCUCACUGUCACUUUCAGAUUCUUCGGUCGGUGACAUAUCAAUUUCAGAAUCAAAUUCAAAAACGGAUCCUGAAUCGGUGUCGCUAUCUGUCUCCAACUUUUGGGAUAUUUCAGGAAGAGAUAUAGUAUUUUCUUCUGGCAUUCCGGGGUGUUCAUGCCUCUGCUUUUCGUUUUCCGUCCCUUUCGCAAGCUUGGAGGUAGUGGACAUCUCGAUUUCCCUUUUCUCCUUGUCACUUGCGUUCUCUGAAUCUGGGUGGGAUUCGAUAUUUUCCUCAUCUUCUCUCUCCGGGUCCUCACCCUUCUGUACUUCUUUCCCCUUUGCAUCCUCCGUUGAUAACUUCAGGUCCUCGCCCUUCAUUUUAUUGUCUUCCUCUGCUCUGACUUCCUCUCCUUGGUUUGGCACCUCUGAGGAUUCCAUAUCUUUGUCAUUGUUUUCCGUGGCUCUUCCCUCAAGUUUUCCGUUUGCAUCUCCCGUUCGGGGUGUAAGGCCUUCAUUUUUAUUAUUCUCCAGAUUUACAGCCCUUGGAGUUUCCGUCACCUCCUCAUCUCCCUCCCGAUUGCUCCCAUCAGUACGUUCCGCAUCACCUUCCACCACUUGUCCUACUUUUUUCCCACCCUCUUUCAGCUUCUUGUCGUUUUUAGCUUGUAGCUUGGCUUCCCUCUGCUCCGUUGCCCGCGCAGCUCUUUUUGCCUUCCUGUUUUCUCUGGCGGCAAUUUUUUUGUCUCUUUUCCAUCUUUUUUUCAACUGAGCUUCCGCACGAUCCCUCUCCUUUUUCUUUAACGCCGCCUUCUUCUCUUUCUCUCUUCUCUUCCUUUCCGCUUCCUCUUCCUCAGACUCCAGUUCCACUCCCUUCGCAUGAGCCAAAUCGUACGAGUGUCCGAUUUGAACAAGCUUCUCGCGUUGUUUGCUAGCUUUUUCUCUGAUAACAUCUUCUGGUGGAGGAUCGCUAAAUUGCGUAGCCUUUACUCGUACGAAAACAGUGUAUGUUCCGGGCUCCAAAAUGAUAUCGGUGCUAACAGAGCGGGUCAUGUAAAUGUUAUUUUGAUUGCGGAUGACAUAUUCCUCUUCGCCUUCUUUCUCA
rnacentral:sRNA from 1 species